rnacentral:rRNA from 1 species
UACGUAGGGUGCAAGCGUUAAUCGGAAUUACUGGGCGUAAAGCGUGCGCAGGCGGUUAUGUAAGACAGAUGUGAAAUGCCCGGGCUUAACCUGGGAACUGCAUUUGUGACUGCAUGGCUAGAGUUUGGCAGAGGGGGGUAGAAUUCCACGUGUAGCAGUGAAAUGCGUAGAUAUGUGGAGGAACACCGAUGGCGAAGGCAGCCCCCUGGGUCAAGACUGACGCUCAUGCACGAAAGCGUGGGGAGCAAACGAGGAUUAGAGUAC